GCUAGAGUAAUUUUGGAAGAUGGAAUUUCAA
rnacentral:piRNA from 1 species